UACGUAGGGACCGAGCGUUGUCCGGAUUCAUUGGGCGUAAAGAGCUCGUAGGCGGCUGUUCAAGUCGAACGUGAAAACUCGGAGCUCAACUCCGAGCCUGCGUUCGAUACUGGACGGCUAGAGUCUGGUAGGGGGAUCUGGAAUUCCUGGUGUAGCGGUGGAAUGCGCAGAUAUCAGGAGGAACACCAAUGGCGAAGGCAGCUCGCUGGAACGGAACUGACGCUGAGGCGCGAAAGCGUGGGGAGCGAACAGG
rnacentral:rRNA from 1 species